CAAUAGCGUAUAUUAAAGUUGUUGCAGUUAAAAAGCUCGUAGUUGGAUUUCUGGUGGGAGCGAUCGGUCUGGCGCUUAGCGCGAGUACUUGCAUCGUCUCCGACCAUCCUUGGGGAGAGUCUGUCUGGCAUUAAGUUGUCGGGCAGAGGAUCCUCAUCGUUUACUGUGAAAAAAUUAGAGUGUUCAAAGCAGGCUUAUGCCGUUGAAUAUAUUAGCAUGGAAUAAUAAGAUAGGACUUUGGUACUAUUUUGUUGGUUUGCGCACCAAAGUAAUGAUUAAUAGGGACAGUUGGGGGUAUUCGUAUUCCGUUGUCAGAGGUGAAAUUCUUGGAUUUACGGAAGACGAACUACUGCGAAAGCAUUUACCAAGGAUGUUUUCAUUAA
rnacentral:rRNA from 1 species